UAAAACAAUACUAUUAUAUUUACUCAGAAUGUAAGCUUGUCCAACCUCCUCAAGGAGAAGUGGCAGUAUUACAUUAAAAAUUAACAAAAAAAGGGGACAAGUAUGUAUACAACAAAAAGGUUUUGUUACAACAGACAGGAGCCAAAAGGCAUCACACGCGGCACUGUAUACAUUUAAAAAAA